AGCUGCGGGAAACUGCAGGUAAUACCGAAUAACAUCUCUGGAUCAAAGGUGCGAUUCCGCCUUGGGACGGAUCCACGUCCUAUUAGCUUGUUGGUGGGGUAACGGCCUACCAAGGCGACGAUGGGUACCGGGCGUGAGAGCGUGACCCGGCUCACUGGGACUGAGACACUGCCCAGACACCUACGGGUGGCUGCAGUCGAGAAUCUUCGGCAAUGGACGGAAGUCUGACCGAGCGACGCCGCGUGCGGGAUGAAGGCCUUCGGGUUGUAAACCGCUGUCAGUUGGGAGGAAAUCACAUGGGGUUCUCUCCAUGUGUUGACCUAUCUUCAGAGGAAGGACGGGCUAAGUUCGUGCCAGCAGCCGCGGUAAGACGAACCGUCCAAACGUUAUUCGGAAUUACUGGGCUUAAAGGGUGCGUAGGCGGCCCUGUAAGUUGGGUGUGAAAUCCCUCGGCUCAACCGAGGAAUUGCGCCCAAUACUGCAGGGCUAGAGGGAGACAGAGGUGAGCGGAACUUGUGGUGGAGCGGUGAAAUGCGUUGAUAUUACAAGGAACACUUGUGGCGAAAGCGGCUCACUGGGUCUCUUCUGACGCUGAGGCACGAAAGCUGGGGGAGCGAACGGGAUUAGAUACCCCGGUAGUCCCAGCUGUAAACGAUG
rnacentral:rRNA from 1 species